UUUGUUUAAAAAUAUCUGCCCUGCUAGUUGCCCCAUGGCUAAUUGUGUCUCACAGUGGUGGAAGGAUCAGUGAGGACAGACAGGCACUCGAGUGUCAGCUGCCGUGGACCCAGUGAGCUGGAAGUUUUUGCCACCCAUGUUGCACCAAAUGGACAAGAUGGCAAAGCCUUGGUGGUAAAGAAGAGAGAAGACCUGGGAGGUGCAAGCAUGCUCUCACCCCAAGAAGUCACCCAAGGUGCCCUCCUGCCUCCACGGAAGACUAUUCCUCCCAGACAGGUG
rnacentral:lncRNA from 1 species